AUAGCCAAAGUCGUACCUCGU
rnacentral:misc_RNA from 1 species